rnacentral:tRNA from 1 species
GCCUUUAUAGGAUAAAGCUAUCCAUUGUAUUUAGGAUUCAAAACUCUUGGUGCAAGUCCAAGUAAAGGCU